GACGAACGCUGGCGGCGUGCUUAACACAUGCAAGUCGAACGGUGAAGCGCCUUCCUUUUUGGUGGGUGUGGAUGAGUGGCGAACGGGUGAGUAACACGUGAGUAACCUGCUCCCUUCUGCUGGAUGACCGCAUGAAAGUGUGGCUAAUACGGGAUAUUCUGGAUCUGUCGCAUGAUGGGUCAGGGACAGAUUUUGUUUCGGUGGGGGAUGGGGCCGCGGCCUAUCAGCUUGUUGGUGGGGUGAUGGCCUACCAAGGCGGUGACGGGUAGCCGGCCUGAGAGGAUGGACGGUCCUACAGGGACGGAGACACCGACAAGCCUCCGAGGGGAGGCAGCAGGGGAGAAUAUUGCACAAUGGGCGGAAGGCUGAUGCAGCGACGCGGCGGGAGUGAUGGAGGCCUGAGGGUUGUGAACUUCUUUCGCCAGUGAAGCAGGGCUGCCUCGUCUGUGGGUGGGUUGACGGUAGCUGGAUAAGAAGCGCCGGCUAACUACGUG
rnacentral:rRNA from 1 species